ensembl:lncRNA
CAUCCUCCUCGGCACCAGCUACUCGGCUGGGAGAACAAGAGUAUCAUUGACCGAGAACGGGAGCCCGGUAUCUCUCUUGGCCGCCCCCUCCGCCCUUGGAGAUCAGAGAAGCCUGCUCAGCCUCUCCCGGCCUGUGCGAGUCCCCAGAGGUGGAAUCAGAGGCGGCCGGGACCUCCGACCCUGCGGCCCGGGUCUGGGGUUCCCCGGCCACUCUGAAGAUAAAUGUGCUCUCGGAGGCUCCCAGCCAGGACCCGCCCCCACAGACCGGAGGAGCACCCGUUUGGAAAGUCCGCAGAGACUGAACGCCACUGGAAACCUCCCCCGGAGUGAGUCACCAGCUCGCAGCUCCAGAGAAACGUCCUCUCCGGUGAGUUGACAGCCCCCGAGGGCUGGAGGGGACAAGGGCGCCGAGGCAGGCGGCUCCACUGGGCCUUCCAGCCUCGUCAGGCCGAGGCUGACUUCUGCUGGAAACUCAGGAACAGAGGCCGGGAGGCAGCGUCCCAUGCCACCCUGGGCCCCUCCUCACGGCAGCCUCGGGUGACACUGCAGACCCGGCCUGGGUGUCAAGGACCCAGGAGGCGGGACAAGCGCCAUGCACGCCGGGCCUCCUCCAGCGCCGCAGGCUGGGAGUCACGCAGGACCGACGGGAGGAUGUCUGAUCACUGGGGAGCGUGAAGGGCAGGUGUGGGCGAGGGGGGUGAGAGCAGGGUCCCCCACUCCUGGCUUGACACUGGACAGGCAGGAGGGCCACAGCCGGUCCCGGGACCUCUCUGAGCAUCAGUCUCCACAUCCGUGAAACGGGAGAGGCCACCGUCCCCGCCUCGUGGAAGUGCUGGGCCCACGAAAGGAGCCGGUAAACUCGAAGACCCGGAGCAGGGUGGGCGCAUGGGGCGCCCUCGUGGACACCACAGCGACGCACACACCUGCUCCCCCCGCGUCUGGGUCUGCGUGCUCAUCGGCACAGCUGUACCCGCGAAAGCCCAUGCUGACUUUCUAAUGGAGAGCACACAGACCCUAAUCAAGCCCCUGUGUUCAGCAGGAUCUACCAAGCAUCUAUUAUGAGCCCGAAUUCUUGCAGGGUUGGGAGGGGCCGGUUCUAGAAACAUUAGGAUGGAGCUGACUGAACACUGGAUGUGAAUUUUGAUGUCACCAGAAAAAAGCAGUGAGACAGUCAAUGGAACCAAAGGCGUCCCAUUCCUUCCCUGCUAUUACCCUGUUUUCCCCAAAGCCGAGAGACUCACGAUGACAACCUUCAGCCGAGAUGGGACGGGGACUUCCUGAGAAGGGGUUAAAGAUCUUUGGGUGGAAAGGUUUCCCCCACACCCAGGAACUCCCCCGAGGACUGCCUGGGGGAGGCGGUCCAGAGAUGACUGGCGUCCAGUGUGAGCCUGUCCCAUGGCCUCUGUCUUCACGUUCCCCAGCAGGACGCUGCGCCUGCCAGGCAGGUGGGGGCACCCUGUCCAGCGGCCAAGGGGCCAGGGUUGCUGACUCAAGCCAGGCCCAGCCAAGCCUGCCUGCUCACUGGACCCUCAACCUCAGGGGCCCCAGUCUGCAGGUGGGGGGCAGGUCCUGGGAAAGUGGAGCGGGUCCCCUUGCAGGAAGCAGUCUCAACGGUUUGGACUCGCACUGCCCGUCGGCUCGGGCCAGCCAGGUACAGACCUCCUGGUCUCUACCCCAGGGAGCCGACGCCCCCACCCCACCUCACCUUCGGGACCGUCUCCUCCAGGGUGCUGUGCCCCACUCCACAUGCCCCAGAGGUCUCACCUUCCGACCUGUGCUCACCUGGGCCCCCAAAAUGAGACCCUGCCUGACAAGGAAAGAGCGUGCCGUGCAUUAAGCGCCCACUGUGGACAUUCCCUGCACAUCUUUUGUCUUCUCUGUAUACUCGGAAAGAGCCUGGUGGCAGCCUGUUCCUGUGAAUUAAACACCCCGAAGCUAAGAGGAGGCCUGCCCCGCAGCCCCUGGGGCCCGGCCGCCUGCCUGCACCGUGCACCCCCGGCUGCCUUCUCCGUGCACCCCCGGCUGUCUUCUCCGCUCUCUGUUUUGGGUUUCCAGCACACCACCAAUGGCUCCGCAUCCAGUAGGCACUGAAUAAAAGCCAGUUGCUCUCCCC